AUGGGAGCUUGCUCCCUGAGGAUUAGCGGCGGACGGGUGAGUAACACGUGGGUAACCUGCCUGUAAGACUGGGAUAACUCCGGGAAACCGGGGCUAAUACCUGAUAAUAUUUUCCUUCGCAUGAAGGAGAAUUGAAAGAUGGCUUCGGCUAUCACUUACAGAUGGACCCGCGGCGCAUUAGCUAGUUGGUGAGGUAAUGGCUCACCAAGGCGACGAUGCGUAGCCGACUUGAGAGGGUGAUCGGCCACACUGGGACUGAGACACGGCCCAGACUCCUACGGGAGGCAGCAGUAGGGAAUCUUCCGCAAUGGACGAAAGUCUGACGGAGCAACGCCGCGUGAGUGAUGAAGGUUUUCGGAUCGUAAAACUCUGUUGUUAGGGAAGAACAAGUAUCGUUCGAAUAGGGCGGUACCUUGACGGUACCUAACCAGAAAGCCACGGCUAACUACGUGCCAGCAGCCGCGGUAAUACGUAGGUGGCAAGCGUUGUCCGGAAUUAUUGGGCGUAAAGCGCGCGCAGGCGGUUUCUUAAGUCUGAUGUGAAAGCCCACGGCUCAACCGUGGAGGGUCAUUGGAAACUGGGAGACUUGAGUGCAGAAGAGAAGAGCGGAAUUCCACGUGUAGCGGUGAAAUGCGUAGAGAUGUGGAGGAACACCAGUGGCGAAGGCGGCUCUUUGGUCUGUAACUGACGCUGAGGCGCGAAAGCGUGGGGAGCGAACAGGAUUAGAUACCCUGGUAGUCCACGCCGUAAACGAUGAG
rnacentral:rRNA from 1 species